UACGAAGGGGGCUAGCGUUGCUCGGAAUUACUGGGCGUAAAGGGCGCGUAGGCGGCGCUGCUAGUCAGGCGUGAAAUUCCUGGGCUUAACCUGGGGACUGCGCUUGAUACGGCAGUGCUAGAGGACGGAAGAGGGUCGUGGAAUUCCCAGUGUAGAGGUGAAAUUCGUAGAUAUUGGGAAGAACACCGGUGGCGAAGGCAGCCCCCUGGGCUAACACUGACGCUCAUGCACGAAAGCGUGGGGAGCAAACAGG
rnacentral:rRNA from 1 species